UACGUAGGGUGCGAGCGUUGUCCGGAAUUACUGGGCGUAAAGAGUUCGUAGGCGGUUUGUCGCGUCGUUCGUGAAAACUUGGGGCUUAACUCCAAGCGUGCGGGCGAUACGGGCAGACUUGAGUACUACAGGGGAGACUGGAAUUCCGUGGUGUAGCGGUGAAAUGCGCAGAUAUCAGGAGGAACACCGGUGGCGAAGGCGGGUCUCUGGGCCGAUACUGACGCUGAGAGCGAAAGCGUGGGGAGGCGAACAGG
rnacentral:rRNA from 1 species